GACAGUAACUCGGGGUAGCAACAGCACAGCAGCCAGUCUGAUAAGUUUCUAUUUCUUGGCAGCUCACUAUUUCCAGUACAUCAAAGCUCGCAGCUGCAACCAAGGCAGGUGUCUCUGUUUAGGCCGAUGAAACCUAUUGUAGCAAGCGUUCAAGGUCUGCUUAGCCUGUCCAGGCUGAGGAGGUCACAGGAAACAAAGUAGAAAAGUCCCCUGGUCUGUCACUUAAGGAGUCUGCUUCGCUUCUAGCAGGACAAAGGAAGGAGAAAAGAGGAAGCUCUGCUCCUUUC
rnacentral:lncRNA from 1 species